CGUGAGUGACCUUCCUUGGUCUCUGGGAUAAGCCCGGGAAACUGGGUCUAAUACCGGAUACGACCAGUCCUCGCAUGGGUUGCUGGUGGAAAGGGUUUGUACUGGUUCUUGAUGGGCUCARGUCCUAUCAGCUUGUUGGUGAGGUAAUGGCUUACCAAGGCGACGACGGGUAGCCGGCCUGAGAGGGUGACCGGCCACACUGGGACUGAGACACGGCCCAGACUCCUACGGGAGGCAGCAGUGGGGAAUAUUGCACAAUGGGCGCAAGCCUGAUGCAGCGACGCCGCGUGGGGGAUGACGGCCUUCGGGUUGUAAACCUCUUUCAGCAGGGAAGAAGCGAAAGUGACGGUACCUGCAGAAGAAGCGCCGGCUAACUACGUGCCAGCAGCCGCGGUAAUACGUAGGGCGCAAGCGUUGUCCGGAAUUAUUGGGCGUAAAGAGCUCGUAGGCGGUUUGUCGCGUCUGCUGUGAAAGCCCGGGGCUCAACCCCGGGUGUGCAGUGGGUACGGGCAGGCUGGAGUGCAGUAGGGGAGACUGGAAUUCCUGGUGUAGCGGUGAAAUGCGCAGAUAUCAGGAGGAACACCGAUGGCGAAGGCAGGUCUCUGGGCUGUUACUGACGCUGAGGACCGAAAGCAUGGGGAGCGAACAGGAUUAGAUACCCUGGUAGUCCAUGCCGUAAACGUUGGGCACUAGGUGUGGGGGACAUUCCACGUUUUCCGCGCCGUAGCUAACGCAUUAAGUGCCCCGCCUGGGGAGUACGGCCGCAAGGCUAAAACUCAAAGGAAUUGACGGGGGCCCGCACAAGCGGCGGAGCAUGCGGAUUAAUUCGAUGCAACGCGAAGAACCUUACCAAGGCUUGACAUACACCGGAUCGCAGCAGAGAUGUUGUUUCCCUUCGGGGCUGGUGUACAGGUGGUGCAUGGUUGUCGUCAGCUCGUGUCGUGAGAUGUUGGGUUAAGUCCCGCAACGAGCGCAACCCUCGUUCUAUGUUGCCAGCACGUUAUGGUGGGGACUCAUAGGAGACUGCCGGGGUCAACUCGGAGGAAGGUGGGGAUGACGUCAAAUCAUCAUGCCCCUUAUGUCUUGGGCUUCACGCAUGCUACAAUGGCCGGUACAAUGGGUUGCGAUACUGUGAGGUGGAGCUAAUCCCAAAAAGCCGGUCUCAGUUCGGAUUGGGGUCUGCAACUCGACCCCAUGAAGUCGGAGUCGCUAGUAAUCGCAGAUCAUCAACGCUGCGGUGAAUACGUUCCCGGGCCUUGUACACACCGCCCGUCAAGUCACGAAAGUUGGUAACACCCGAAGCCGAUG
rnacentral:rRNA from 1 species